rnacentral:rRNA from 1 species
GACGUAGGGCGCGAGCGUUGUCCGGAUUUAUUGGGCGUAAAGAGCUCGUAGGCGGCUUGUCGCGUCGUCUGUGAAAACCCGCGGCUCAACGGCGGGCUUGCAGUCGAUACGGGCAGGCUGGAGUUCGGUAGGGGAGACUGGAAUUCCUGGUGUAGCGGUGAAAUGCGCAGAUAUCAGGAAGAACACCCGUGGCGAAGGCGGAUCUCUGGGCCUUACCUGACGCUCAGGUGCGAAAGCUAGGGGAGCGAACAGG